UACGUAGGGUGCGAGCGUUGUCCGGAAUUAUUGGGCGUAAAGGGCUCGUAGGCGGUUUGUCGCGUCGGGAGUGAAAACCUUGGGCUUAACUCAGGGCUUGCUUUCGAUACGGGCAGACUAGAGGUAUGCAGGGGAGAACGGAAUUCCUGGUGUAGCGGUGAAAUGCGCAGAUAUCAGGAGGAACACCGGUGGCGAAGGCGGAUCUCUGGGCCGAUACUGACGCUGAGGAGCGAAAGCGUGGGGAGCAAACAGG
rnacentral:rRNA from 1 species